rnacentral:rRNA from 1 species
AUUGAACGCUGGCGACAUGCCUUACACAUGCAAGUCGAACGGCAGCACGGGUGCUUGCACCUGGUGGCGAGUGGCGAACGGGUGAGUAAUACAUCGGAACAUGUCCUGUAGUGGGGGAUAGCCCGGCGAAAGCCGGAUUAAUACCGCAUACGAUCUACGGAUGACAGCGGGGGACCUUCGGGCCUCGCGCUAUAGGGUUGGCCGAUGGCUGAUUAGCUAGUUGGUGGGGUAAAGGCCUACCAAGGCGACGAUCAGUAGCUGGUCUGAGAGGACGACCAGCCACACUGGGACUGAGACACGGCCCAGACUCCUACGGGAGGCAGCAGUGGGGAAUUUUGGACAAUGGGCGAAAGCCUGAUCCAGCAAUGCCGCGUGUGUGAAGAAGGCCUUCGGGUUGUAAAGCACUUUUGUCCGGAAAGAAAUCCUUGGCCCUAAUACGGUCGGGGGAUGACGGUACCGGAAGAAUAAGCACCGGCUAACUACGUG